ACUGCCUCAGCCGGCGAGCAGCCCAGACCAAAGCACAACAAGUUUUCUCGAGCAGUGAAUAUCUUGUUUCACAGUCGGUAAACUUUUUGCUAAGGUAGUAUAUGGAUGCCUCAGCCGGCGAGCAGCCCAGACCAAAGCACAACAAGUUUUCUCGAGCAGUGAAUAUCUUGUUUCACAGUCGGUAAACUUUUUGCUAAGGUAGUAUAUGGCAUGCUCUUUUCG
rnacentral:lncRNA from 1 species